UGAGGAAUAUUGGUCAAUGGACGGAAGUCUGAACCAGCCAAGUAGCGUGCAGGAUGACGGCCCUAUGGGUUGUAAACUGUUUUUGUAUGGGGAUAAAGUUAGGGACGUGUCCCUAUUUGCAGGUACCAUACGAAUAAGGACCGGCUAAUUCCGUGCCAGCAGCCGCGGUAAUACGGAAGGUCCAGGCGUUAUCCGGAUUUAUUGGGUUUAAAGGGAGCGUAGGCUGGAGAUUAAGUGUGUUGUGAAAUGUAGACGCUCAACGUCUGAAUUGCAGCGCAUACUGGUUUCCUUGAGUACGCACAACGUUGGCGGAAUUCGUCGUGUAGCGGUGAAAUGCUUAGAUAUGACGAAGAACUCCGAUUGCGAAGGCAGCUGACGGGAGCGCAACUGACGCUUAAGCUCGAAGGUGCGGGUAUCAAACAGG
rnacentral:rRNA from 1 species